CAGGUAGGGAUACCCGCUGAACUUAAGCAUAUCAAUAAGCGGAGG
rnacentral:rRNA from 1 species